rnacentral:rRNA from 1 species
AUGGCGGCGUGCUUACACAUGCAUGUCGAACGACACUUCGGGUUAGUGGCGGACGGGUGAGUAACGCGUGAGAAUCUGCCCUCAGGAGGGGGAUAACGGUUGGAAACGACCGCUAAUACCCCAUAUGCCGCGAGGUGAAAUGAAUUUCGCCUGAGGAUGAGCUCGCGUCUGAUUAGUUAGUUGGUGGGGUAAAGGCCUACCAAGACAUCGAUCAGUAGCUGGUCUGAGAGGAUGAUCAGCCACACUGGGACUGAGACACGGCCCAGACUCCUACGGGAGGCAGCAGUGGGGAAUUUUCCGCAAUGGGCGAAAGCCUGACGGAGCAACGCCGCGUGAGGGAUGAAGGCCUCUGGGCUGUAAACCUCUUUUAUCAAGGAAGAAGAUCUGACGGUACUUGAUGAAUAAGCCACGGCUCAUUCCGUGCCAGCAGCCGCGGUAAUACGGGAGUGGCAAGCGUUAUCCGGAAUUAUUGGGCGUAAAGCGUCCGCAGGCGGUCUGUCAAGUAUGCUGUUACACACGUGGAGCCUUAACUCCAAUUUCGGCAGCUGGACAACUGGCCAGACUAAAAGUGUGUGUACGGGCCCGCAGGAAUUCCCCAAAGUAACGGUGACAUGCGUAAAUCUAGGAAAAACACAAUGGAAAAGGCUCUG